GUUCCCGGGGCACGUCCUCCAGGGCCAGGACGUGGGGAAGCAGAAAGCUGCCUGGCUCAGCCUCUCAGGGUCAGGCAGGUGCAGGGUUAGCCUAAAACCAGCGCCCCUCCUGCCUCUCAGGCGGUUCACAGCUCCCCGCCUGAGCUUAGCGGUUCAUGACACCCAGUUCUCAGAGCUCGGUUGCGGUGGGGGGGGGGGGGGGCCGAGAGCUUUGCCCAGCCUGGCUCUCCCUGGACGCACAGUCAGUGGCAACUCUGGGGACCCUGAGACUUAAGCUCAGAGUGGCCCUGAUGUAGAGCCUGCGGUCCACGGUCAGCGCUGCCCCCUCCCCAGUUUCCCAGACCCCGGGGUGUGGGGUGGGAGCAGGGAGACCUCCGGCCGGCAGCUGGACUCCCCUUGGCUUUGACAGACGCUGUGUGUCAGCAGAACCGCCACCCCCUCGGCCGCCAUGAAGCUCAUUUCCCCCAGAGAUUUCGUGGACUUGGUGUUGGUCAAGAAGUACGAGGAUGGGACUCUCAGCUCCAACGCUGUCAACGUGGAACAUCCGUCAUGCCCCCCGAGGCCGGGGUACGUGAGAGGGUUCAACCACCCUUGUGGUUGCUUCUGCGAACCUCUGCCCGGGUGAGAUUGACCUCCUGCAUGGAAUUAUGUGCCCAGACCCACGCGUAGCUUAAUUGUGGACCUUUCGUUCAUGGGGCGCGUUAAUUACGAUUUGCAGUCAUAAAAAUGCCUUCUGGCUCUGUAGGCUUUGA